GACGUAGGGCGCGAGCGUUUGUCCGGAUUUAUUGGGCGUAAAGAGCUCGUAGGCGGCUUGUCGCGUCGACCGUGAAAACUUGGGGGCUCAACCCUGGAAAGCCGGUGGAUACUGUCGGGCUAGAGUCCGGAAGAGGCGAGUGGAAUUCCUGGUGUAGCGGUGGAAUGCGCAGAUAUCAGGAGGAACACCGAUGGCGAAGGCAGCUCGCUGGGACGGUACUGACGCUGAGGCGCGAAAGCGUGGGGAGCGAACAGG
rnacentral:rRNA from 1 species